AACGCACCUUGCACCCUUUGGUAUUCCGAAGGGUACACCCGUUUGAGUGUCAUUGUAUUCUCACCACUUCUCCUUUUUCGGUGGAAGGCGGUGGACUUGGACGCUUGCCGUAGCGAUACGGCUCGUCUUAAAUGCAGGAGUGUGACCCCCCUUUGUCGGUGUCAUCUGGUGUGAUAAGUAUCUUCACCGGAGUAUCUUGGAGGGACUGUGUCCUUUCGAGAGCAUCGUUGGGGUGGGCUGAUGCUGCCAACCGUCGCAAGACAAUCUUUGACAAUUUGACCUCAGAUCGGGUGGGACUACCCGCUGAACUUAA
rnacentral:misc_RNA from 1 species